rnacentral:rRNA from 1 species
GAUGAACGCUGGCUACAGGCUUAACACAUGCAAGUCGAGGGGAAACGACGGGGAAGCUUGCUUCCCCGGGCGUCGACCGGCGCACGGGUGAGUAACGCGUAUCCAACCUGCCUCUGACUGAGGGAUAACCCGUCGAAAGUCGGCCUAAUACCUCAUGGCAUCGUCUGCGGGCAUCCAACGACGAUUAAAGAUUUCAUCGGUCAGAGAUGGGGAUGCGUCUGAUUAGCUUGUUGGCGGGGUAACGGCCCACCAAGGCGACGAUCAGUAGGGGUUCUGAGAGGAAGGUCCCCCACAUUGGAACUGAGACACGGUCCAAACUCCUACGGGAGGCAGCAGUGAGGAAUAUUGGUCAAUGGGCGAGAGCCUGAACCAGCCAAGUAGCGUGCAGGAUGACGGCCCUAUGGGUUGUAAACUGCUUUUAUGCGGGGAUAAAGUGGGGGACGUGUCCUUCAUUGCAGGUACCGCAUGAAUAAGGACCGGCUAAUUCCGUG